CUGCUCUGAUUUUUCUCGUU
rnacentral:snRNA from 1 species